CGGCCGCGGGAGCGCAGUGCCAGCGCCGCCCGGCCCCACCGAGAGGGGCGCACUCGCCGCUGCGGGGCUCGCACCGCUCACCGCAGCCCCCUCCCGCCGACCCGCAAGUCCUCUCAAACCCUGAAUAAGUAAGUGGUCUGUGCCUGUUCCAAGGGCAGAGUGGAAAGUGGCAGUGGUCCUGUCCAGUGGACAUACUGCUUCCCUACUUGGACUCUCCAGGAUUCCAUCACAGAUUGCUGCAAUGUCUGUAUCUAAUCUAUCAUGGUUGAAGAAAAAGUCCCAGUCAGUGGAUAUUACUGCUCCAGGGUUCAACCCUUUGGGUGGUGCAGGGAAGCAAGCACCACAAGCCAGCAAGCCCCCAGCACCCAAGACUCCCAUCAUAGAAGAAGAACAGAACAACUCGGCAAACACCCAGAAGCAUCCUUCCAGGAAAAGUGAGCUGAAGAGGUUCUAUACCAUUGGUGAGUGC
rnacentral:lncRNA from 1 species